UACAGCAAUUAAAAACUGGAAAGAUCUUAAGGACUAUUUGGAAAAAAAUUGGGAUGUAAGGGAUGGUUUAUUUAGACGCCCUAGGGGUCUCUGGGCAGUUAACAGGGGAGUUCUAAGAACUAUUUCUCUCCUAACUAAGGCCACAUGAUAUGGGGUGGGGGUUCCUACUAGCACCCUAUGUGGUGGGCCCGCUGUGUGUCUCAUUUCUGGCUCGGCUUUCCUUCUCCCGGCGGUCUCUUGCAUCUUCCCUGGGCCGGCUGCUUCCUUGGUGGGACUGUUCCUGGCGCCCGUCUCCAUGUCUUGCUUCGGCCUCGGCUCUGUCCUGAAUGGUUCCGCUGCGCCCACAAUGCACGUCAUCGUGCGCCGCCUCAGUCUCCACCGCAGUCGUCUGCUGCCAGAGUACGCCAGUCCUGCUUUGAUGUACUGCUAUCUCGCCAAGGCCACAGGUGGAAGAGCAGAGGAGCUUUGCUUUGUCUUUAAUUAGCAGAAGCCAUGGGAAUUGCAUACCUAUUUACAAUUAGUGCGGAGUUUUGUGCAGCACCUUGCAAAAUCCAUCAGAAACGUUUGCAUAUUGAAGAAUUCUAACAAUAAUUGAAAACACCAUGCUUCCUCCAAGGCGAUAUCAAAGCACAACAGAGAAAAAAACCCUCCUCGAAAAAACAAAGCUCACCUCCCACAGAGCAGAGCGAACCCAUAGGUCACCAGGCCACAGCCCGGAACUCCCAGCAGUAUUU